GUAAGAGGUAUUGCCCCUCUCCGGCUUCUUUGCGCCUCCUACUUGCAAUCUUGAGGUGCACUCCUGGCCAGGAAGGCGGGGUGAUCGCCGGAGUCUGGGAGGCCGGGAGGCAGAGCCAGGCGUGACGGUGCUGCGAUACUUCUUUUUUUGCGCUACACGCCUCUCCUCUGGCCCAGCCAAAUAUGACUUCUCUUGUGGAUUGCUCCCACCUAGGGCUCCUGGCCGCGACUUCAGUGCUCGGCAGUUGGGUCCCUGGACCAGUAAUCUCACUGUGUGCUGUGAAAGCUGGUGGUGAAGUUCCCGCCCUCGUGGAGUGCACAUCUGGAAGAGGCCUUUAAUUCAAUCCGUAAAUAAACAACCAACGACGAAAGA